AGAUCAUGAUGGGGGCAAUUCCUUAUUAAUCCUUUGUACCAUUCCCAUGCCUCAUAUAGUGACUCUCCAUCUUGUUGUUCAAAGUUGGCUAUGGCUUUCUUCAACUU